GCGGGAAAUCCGUAGGAAAGGCGUCAACAUCAAACUCAUAACCUGAAGGUCGUAGGUUCAAAUCCUACUCCCGCA
rnacentral:tRNA from 1 species